ensembl:lncRNA
GAUGGUAGACCAGGGUAAGAUAAUGACAGUAGAUGGUAGACCAGGGUAAUAUAAUGACAGUAGAUGGUAGACUAGUGUAAUAUAAUGCCAGUAAAUGGUAGACCAGGGUAAUAUAAUGACAGUAGAUGGGAGACCAGGGUAAUAUAUUGACAGUAGAUGGUAGACCAGGGUAAUAUAAUGACAGUAGAUGGUAUACCAGGGUAAUAUAAUGACAGUAGAGGGUAGACCAGGGUAAUAUAAUGACAGUAGAUGGUAGACCAGGGUAAUAUAAUGACAGUAGAUGGUAGACUAGUGUAAUAUAAUGACAGUAAAUGGUAGAC